UUCCCUAAGCAGGUUAUGUGGUUUGGCGAACAUCAAACUUGAAUGUUUCCCUUGAAUGUUUACUAACCAUAUUGAAUGUUUUUUUCCGAGUAUUGCCUUUGCAGACGUUAUAGACCAGUAUCAACAUGUUUUCUGUAUAGUCCUCCAAGCGAACGACCAUCUAAAUGCCUCCAUCUUUUGCAAUGCCUCAUGAAGCGCUCGAGUUCCUCAUCAAGUGUCUACAGCAGCCUGGGUUUGUCGCAUGUGUAUGGAGACCCUAAACAGAACGACAUCGUUUUGGCACUAUAAUGGUCAUCCUGUAAUGGGUUGAAUAACCCUAAACGACACCGUUUAAUUUUGGUUUGGGUGCAGAAGUCUUUCAGUCAUUUAGCUCAAUCUCUUUUUGGCUGCUGGGCCAUUCCAUUAGAUAUUUUAGGCUGUAUUAGUUU
rnacentral:lncRNA from 1 species